rnacentral:rRNA from 1 species
GAUUAACGCUGGCGGCGUGCAUAACACAUGCAAGUCGAACGAAGUGGCGGACGGGUGUGUAACGCGUGAGUCACCUGCCUUAGAGAAGGGGAUAGCCUUUGGAAACGAAGAAUAAUACCCUAUGGUCUAAGAUGGACUUGCGUCUGAUUAGUUAGUUGGUGGGGUAACGGCCCACCCAGCCAGCGAUCAGUAGCCGGCUUGAGAGAGUGUACGGCAACAUUGGGGCAGAGACACGGCCCAGACUCUACGGGAGGCAGCAGUGGGGAAUUUUGAACAAUGGGGGAAAACCUGAUGCGGCGACGCCGCGUGAUUUAGAAGGCAGUCGGGUUGUAAAAAUCUUUUCUAUGGGAAGCAGUACCAUAGGAAUAAGGAACGGCUAAUUACGUGCCAGCAGCCGCGGUAAUAC